UACAGAGGUCCCAAGCGUUGUUCGGAUUCACUGGGCGUAAAGGGUGCGUAGGCGGUCGGGUAAGUCUGAUGUGAAAUCUCACAGCUUAACUGUGAAACUGCAUUGGAUACUAUCCGGCUAGAGGAAUGGAGGGGAGACUGGAAUACUUGGUGUAGCAGUGAAAUGCGUAGAUAUCAAGUGGAACACCAGUGGCGAAGGCGGCGAUCUGGGAAGAUACUGACGCUGAGGUGCGAAAGCGUGGGGAGCAAACAGG
rnacentral:rRNA from 1 species